GUGCCCCUCAGAUGACGGCUGAGUGAGAGUGAAACCGGCUUCUUUCAGAAGCUGCUGCCUGGGGUUGACCUUAAAAUGUCUGAAAAAUGAGCAGACGGGGGGGAGCAGAGAAGCGGGUUGUAUUUGGCGAGGGGGCCCCGCCUCAGGAGGCUCUGGGGACAGCCGGAGGGGCACAUGCAGGGUGUCCCAUGUCCAGGUCCUGAGUGGGGACCCAGAUCACCCUUCCCGUCUCCUGUGCAAGCUGGCGUCUGUCCUCCAAAGGCCUGAGUAACGGAUGUGAGGAAGGAACCCGACUGGGAAUCCCCUGAGCUGCCCGAGGACCAGAGUGAGUCACCCCUUUCCAGCUUGCCAGGUUGGGGGUGUCACCCCUUCAGAGCUGGCAGGCGGGGGUGGGGCGGCACUUCCUGGUCAGGGCCCUGCCACCCACGCUCCCCCUCCCUCGGUUCUCAACUCCGCUCACCUGGCAGGCCUGUCAUCAGAGUCAAAUUAAAAUAUACAUAUAUGUGUGUGCGUGAAAACCCUGCAAAAGCAGAAAUGUUUCCGAUAAGCAAGAGCGUUUUCGUGCUGGAAGCACCGGCAAGUCCUUCGGGAUCGUUUCAGUGACGCCCACAGGCAGCUGGCUGCCUUCCCGGGAGCCGAGAGCUGGCUCAGGAGAAAUCUCUGGACGUGGGCAGGACCAGGUGGCUCCAGUCAGCCCUUCCGCCUGACCCCUGCUCUGGAGGAGUGACCCUCCCGGAUCACUGCAGAGGCAGGCGGACAGUUUCCUGAUUGUGCAGCGGAACCUCUUCUUUGCAACAAGAACCAUUUCCUGCAGGGAGUUCACAGCGGAGGGUUCCCAAAGGGGAAGCGUUCCUACACCUGAGAGCUCGCCUGGCCACGAGCUGUCCGUGGGAGGUUUCCACGACUGCUGGUGGCCGGCUCGGCCUGGAGUUCGUGGAACAUGCAGCAGAGGCAGGGCGGCCGGGCUGCUAUCUCCCAGGGAAAUUCCGACUUGGAAACCCAGUCAUGACUGACGCAGCGUGAUGCAAGCACUUCCCACGCCCUGUGGACUGGUCACAUGACGCAACUUCAGAGCCUGUUGCUUCCGAUGAGUCCCCUGGAGCGGAGGUGCUGGGUGUGCUGUGUGACCGGGGGAAGGAGUCUUACCUCUGAGUCUCCAUGUUCUUUUCCGCAAAAUGAAGAAUGCAGUUCCCUUCGGACGCUGGUUGCCAGGUACUGAGCUAGGCCCGCGCUCAGUGACAGACCCUCCACUGGGCCUUGGCCCGAGAGAAGCAGGCUGGCCUCGGGGCAGCACUCCCGCGCUGCUCCUUUCUUUCUGGCCAAGACCCCUGCCUUGUUUCCAGAUGUUUCCAUUGCGUGUUCCACAUUUCCGUGUGUCUGGAGGCCAUAGUUUGUGCAUUUUUGGUUUUGUUGGUGGUAAAAUUCAUAUAAAAUUCGCCAUUAAACCAUA